AAAGUUUUAAAUUUAAUUCAAAACCUGAAAUCUCAUGUUUUUCUAACUUAAUAACAACUGAUUUUAAAAAUAUAUCAAAAAAAAAUGAACCAUAUUAAAAUUUUUAGAACUUAAGUCUUAAUUACAAUUUUCAUUAAAUUUCCUAAAUUUCUAAACCUUACCAUUUAAACUUUCAUUCAACGUAUCAAAUAUAAUUGUUUCUUCUCAAUAAAAUCAGCAAUUACACUAUCCUUUAGUUUCAUAUUUACAUAGCUUCAUGCUUUCAAAGAUUUACUUCUAUCUAGUACUAAUCUCAUUUCCACAAGCCAAUUAUAUAGUUUCAAUUAGGAAAUUCAGAAUCAUAAUAGACAUGAUGUGAAACCCAUUAACUUAAUAUUUUAAAAAGCAAAAUUUAUCAAAGCUAAAUAUAGAUUUAUAAUCAAUUCACAACCAUCCUUUUUCAAUUAAUAGAUAAAUAAAGAUUACAAUUUUCAUACCUACAUGUUUUACAUAAUGUGCAUACACCAAUAAUAAACUCAUUCACUUUUAAAAAAACUCAUUAUUAUGUAAACUAUUCUCACAAAUAAUAAUAAUAAUAAUAAUAA
rnacentral:misc_RNA from 1 species